rnacentral:rRNA from 1 species
UACAGAGGUCUCAAGCGUUUGUUCGGAUUCAUUGGGCGUAAAGGGUGCGUAGGUGGGCAGGUAAGUCAGUGGUGAAAUCUCCGAGCUUAACUCGGAAACUGCCAUUGAUACUAUCUGUCUUGAAUUAUCUGGAGGUAAGCGGAAUAUGUCAUGUAGCGGUGAAAUGCUUAGAUAUGACAUAGAACACCAAUUGCGAAGGCAGCUUACUACGGAUAUAUUGACACUGAGGCACGAAAAGCGUGGGGGAUCAAACAGG